GUGGCCGUAGCUCAGCUGGACAGAGCGCCGGGUUGUGUCCCCGGAGGCCGCGGGUUCGACUCCCGUCGGUCACCCCA
rnacentral:tRNA from 1 species